GCCGCCUGCCGGGAGUUGUGGUUUCAUGGUCGACGGAGGCUGCGAAGGGAAACCCCAGCCGGAAGUAGACUCCCAGGAUGCAGCGGAGGCGCGAAGGCAUGCGCCGGUGGACGCUCUGAUUGGUUCCUCCUGCUGUUUUUAAAGGGAGGGGGCGGGACAGAGCUGUUGCCGUGGCAACUGGGAGGCACUCUCAGGCUGUUUUCCCGAGGACCUCAAAUCCGGACUUUUUUUCUGUUUUUCUUUCUUUUUUGGUUUUGUUUUGGACGCGUUGUGGCCCAGGCUGGAGUGCAGUGGCGUGAUCAUAGCUCAGUGCAGCUUCGAACUGCUGGGGCAUACUCAUCUAAUAACGAGGACAGCAUCUGCAAUUUAGAGAUUCCUGUCCGCAACCUUCAUUGCUCCAACGACAACUUUUGGGUAAGAGUCAUUAGGAUGCCGUCUAUCAUGGAGGAAGCUGAGGCUCAGAGAGGGCCACCAAGUUGCUGGAAGACACAGCACGUGCGACCUCAGGGAGGCUGCAAGGAGAGAAAGCCCCAGUCCGCGAGACUCCCAGCCUCCAGCUUCAGUUUACCCUCCAAUCCCCAAGCCCUCAGGGGCAGGAGCCGAAUGGAGCGGCAGGCUUGGAUUCACCUGCUAAGUGGGGUGAGGUCAAGGGAAUGAAAUAAACCUCGGAGCCUAGAGCCUGCCCUGGUCUCCGCGUGAUCCUGCCUAGGAGGAGCAGGGCGGGAGCUUUAGAAUGGAACCUGGAAGGUGUGCCCACCUGUGUCGUUCAGCCGGGGCAGCAGGCCAGAGGCGGGAGCGCCUGCUGUGGGGCAGUAGGCUUGGGAAGGGUGAGAAUAGGAAUAUCUGGGGGUAACUGUGUUCCAGGCUAAUAUCCCAGUUGCAAAGGGGAGCUGGUUUGGUGGCUCAGGCCUGUCAUCCCAGCACUUUGGGAGGCUGAGGCGGGCGGAUCACCUAAGGUCAGAGUUCGAGACCAGCUUGGCAAAUACGCAAGCAUGCCUGGCAACAUGGCAAAACCCCGUCUCUAGUAAAAAUACAAAAAUUAUCCGGGGGUGGUGGCGGGCACCUGUAAUCCCAGCUACUCGGGAGGCUGAGGCAGGAGAAUCGCUUGAACCCGGGAGGCGGAGGUUGCAGUGAGCCAAGAUCUCGCCACUGCACUCCAGCCUGGGUGACAGAGCGAGAACCUGUCUCAAAAAAAAAAAAGUGCAAAGGGAGGUCAGUUCAGUGCCUCAGGCCUGUAAUCCCAGCACUUUGGGAGGCUGCGGCGGGAGGAUCGCUUGAGCCCAGGAGUUCCAGACAAGCCUUGGGCAACCGAGAUACUGAGACCCAGUCUCCACCAAAGGAAAAAAAGAAAUUAGCCAGGCAUGGUGGUGCACACCUGUGGUCCCAGAUACUCGGGAGGCUGAGGCAGGAGGACUGCUUGAGCCCAGGAGGUUUAGACUGCAGUGAGCUGAGAUGGCGCCACUGUACUCCAGCCUGGGUUGACAGAACAGGACCCUGUCUCAAAACAAAACAAGUGCAAAGGCCCUGAGGCAGGAACAAGCGUGGACAGAGGAGCAAUUUGAGCAGAGUGGGGCUGGGGAGAGGGAGCAAAGAUGUAGCUGGGGCUCAGUUAGGGGGCCUGACCACACGGGGGCUCGGGGGCCUCAGCUCAAGCUAUCCUCCAUCCCCAAACCCUGGCACUUCAGUUUCCCCAUCAGCCCAGAACGAGGACUCGACCUCACUCUGGAAGGGCCUGGCAGCCUCCUUACAGCACAUUCCAGACGCUGCUGCCGACGCCUGCGUGAGCGCACUGAUGCCACCGGCUGGGAAUGUUUUCGACAGACGGCAGCACCCUCCCUCACCUGCCUCAGUCCACCUCAGGGUGCCCCAGCGGGCUGUGACCUCAGACCUCACCCACUACUGGGGUCACCUGCCUGGCCCUGAAUCAGCCAGGCCUGGUGUGCCAAGACCUACAGACACCCCCUGCACCCCUGCAGGCUGGCAGAGCCAGAAACUUGGGUGGAAACCGACUUCUGAACUAUUUCACCAUUCCUUAUGCGUUAGUCUUUUCUUUUAUUUGAUGAGAUCCCAGCACUUUGGGAGGCCGAGGCGGGCGGAUCACGUGAGGUCAGGAGUUUGAGACCAGCCUGGCCAACAUGGUGAAACCCCGUCUCUACUAAAAAUACGAAAAUUAGCCGGGCAUGGUGGCCUGUGCCUGUAAUCCCAGCUACUCAGGAGGCCAAGGGAGGAAAAUCACUUGAACCUGAGAGGUGGAGGUUACAGUGAGCCAAGAUCGCACCACUGCACUCCAGCCUUGGGCAAUGUAGCCAAACCCCAUCACUACAAAUAAUACAAAAAAAUUUUGUUGGCUGUGAUGGUGCCUGCCUGUGGCCCCAUCUACUUGGGAGGCUGAGGUGGGAAGAUGUAGAAUUGCUUGAGCCAGGAGGCAGAGGCUGCAGUGAGCUGUGAUUGAGCCACUGCACUCCAGCCUGGGCGACAGAGCGAGACCCUGUCUCAAAAAAAAAAGAACAUAAUCUGGGUUUUGGAAUAAGACAGCAGUUUCUGAAACAGCUCAUUGCCCAAAUUCCAGCCUCGCAACUCUGUAGCCGCCACCACCCCCCAGCCCCACCAUUUAUUUUAACUACAUCUGUCUCCACCACUCCUGUAUUAAGUAAAUGCAAUAUUGGCUGGUCAUGGUGGCUCAUGCCUGUAAUUCCAGCACUUUGGGAGGCUGAGGCAGGCAGAUCCCCUGAGGUCAGGAGUUCGAGACUGGCCUGGCCAACGUGGUGAAACCCUGUCUCCACUAAAAAUUCAAAAAUUAGCCGGACGUGGUAGUGGGUGGUGCCUGUAAUCCCAGCUACUUGGGAGGCUGAGGUAAGAGAAAUGCUUGAAUCCAAGAGACUGAGGUUGCAGUGAGCUGAGAUCUCGCCGCUGCACUCCAGCCUGAACGACAGAGCGAGACUCCGUCUCAAAAAUAAAUUAAUAAAUACAACAUUAAUUAUUUUUCUUGCUUAAGUUUUACGAAGAGACUUAAUAUCACCAUCAAAAGUGGGAAACCAUAUAUCUGGCCGGGCGUGGUGGCUCCCGCCUGUCAUCCCAGCACUACGGGAGGCCGAGGCGGGCGGAUCCCCUGAGGCCGGGAGCUGGAGACCAGCCUGGCUAACAUGGUGAAACCCUCAUCUCCAAUAAAAAUAACAAAAAUUAGCCGGGCAUGGUGGGUGCCUGUAAUCCCAGCUAUUCAGGAGGCUGAGGCAGAAGAAUCACUUGAACCCGGGAGGCGGAGGUUGCAGGGAGCCGAGAUCACACCACUGCCCUCCGGCCUGGGCGACAGAGCGAGACUCUGUCUAAAAACAAAACAAAACAAAACCCAACCAAGCAAACCCCACAGAGUCGAGAAUCGCUAGAUGGAAGGGGAUGGCCCAGGUCCCUGGAGCCCCUGUGACAAAUUACCACAAACUCGGUGCCUUAAAGCAACGUUCAUUUUCUUACAUUUCUGGAAAUGAAAAGUCCAAAAUCAGGACU
rnacentral:lncRNA from 1 species